GCUUGCCGUAUGACCAUGCUUUGGACAUAUAGGUCAGUUGGCUGCUGCUUGUACGAGCUAUAUACAGGAAAGGUCCUCUUCCCUGGACCAUCAAACAAUGACAUGCUUCGGCUUCAUAUGGAGUUAAAAGGUCCAUUUCAUAAAAAGAUGCUCAGGAAGGGAGCCUUUACAGAUCAUCAUUUUGAUCGGGAUCUGAAUUUCCAUGCCACUGAAGAAGAUCCUGUUACAAAGAAGGCUGUUAAGCGACUGCUUGUGAAUAUUAAGGCAAAGGAUUUUAGUAGUCUUAUUUCAAGCUAUACUGGUGAGGAUCCCAAGAUGCUGGCCAAUUUCAAAGCUUGAUAGAAUUUUUGUGCUCGAUCCAGAGAAAAGAUUGACAGUAUCUCAAGCACUGAGUCAUCCAUUCAUUGCGGGCAAGUGAAUAAAGAUGCUGAUAUUUCUGAUCCAGAACUGCUGUUGAGUUAGCUAUGCAUUUGAGUCUUUUAUUCAGCCAUCUGAUCAUUGGGCAUUUGCUUGUCUCUAUCUUUGUCACAUGGACCAAGUGCAAGCAAUGCAGACUUCUUGCUGAUCGUGAGCUUAACACAGCCACUCUGGAGAGCUCUCUUACUUGGCGAGUCCUUUCAAUCGAAUAUAUUCUAUUUCUAUUGGAAUACGGGCCCUUGUUGGAGGAGUGAGAGACGUGAGACCCCUCAGUGAAUAGAUAGUUAAUGUCAUAGUGUGUAUAACGGAAAGGGGUUUCCGUAUACACGUUUCUGACUUUCUUUUGAAUAAAGGAAGUUCCCAACAACUGUUUCAUUGUACGGCUGUUAAGCGACCACUUGUGAAUAUUAAGGCAAAGGAUUUUAGCUAUACUGGUGAGGAUCCCAAGAUGCUGGCCAAUUUCAAAGAUCUGCUUGAUAGAAUUUUUGUGCUCGAUCCAGAGAAAAGAUUGACAGUAUCUCAAGCACUGAGUCAUCCAUUCAUUACGGGCAAGUGAAUAAAGUGCAAGCAAUGCAGACUUCUUGCUGACCGUGAGCUUAACACAGCCACUCUGGAGAGCUCUCUUACUUGGCGAGUCCUUUCAGUCGAUUAUAUUCUAUUUCUAUUGGAAUACGGGCCCUUGUUGGAGGAGUGAGAGACGUGAGAGCCCUCAGUGAAUAGAUAGUUAAUGUCAUAGUGUGCAUAACGGAAAGGGGUUUCCGUAUACACGUUUCUGACUUUCUUUUGAAUAAAGGAAGUUCCCAACAAUUGUUUCAUUGUACGGCGUACGGGAGGAAUUUAAAGAUGGUUCAGUUCAGGUGUAUAGUGUGCAAGCUUUCAUCCCAAAAGAUCCUGCAGCACUUGUAAGUGCCGAAUUUGUACAAGCAGAAGAGUGUUUUGGUCAAUCUUUGACGAAUGAGAAUUGUUUGUGGGACAACAGGGGCUGACUAUCUUUGCUUUCAACAAAGGGAAGUUCAAUUCAAAGACCUUAAAUGAGCUACUAAGUUUAGGUCCCACUUUUGUAAUAAUGAAGUUUUUUUAGAGAAGGGACUUCAAAAUCCAAAGUUUGUUUUCUACAAGACCUACAUCUUUGUUCUAAUUGCAUAUGCAAGUGUCUAGCUGGCCUUUAGCCUACUCAUGUGCAUUCCAGCUUGUCAUAGGCUGACAAACCGAUGUGAUCAAUGGCCUGUUAUGAGAUUUAUCAAGUGGAUGCAUCAGGAAAGACAUUAUGUUGGACGAGGAAUGUAUGAGCGAACAACUGACUUUGUCAGGGCUGACUAUCUUUGCUUUCAACAAAGGGAAGUUCAAUUCAAAGACCUUAAAUGAGCUACUAAGUUUAGGUCCCACUUUUGUAAUAAUGAAGUUUUUUGAGUGUGUACUGGACAUUGUCAUGAUGUAUGGGGCAUAUUCAACAACUCGUCGUUUAGCUGUGAUUAGAAUUGUUCUCCGUUUUCUUUGGUUUGGUGUUGCUUCAGCAUUUGUAUCAUAUCUUCAUGUGAAGGGUCUUCAAAAUCCAAAGUUUGUUUUCUACAAGACCUACAUCUUUGUUCUAAUUGCAUAUGCAAAUGUCCAGCUGGCCUUUAGCCUACUCAUGCGCAUUCCAGCUUGUCAUAGGCUGACAAACUGAUGUGAUCAAUGGCCUGUUAUGAGAUUUAUCAAGUGGAUGCAUCAGGAAAGACAUUAUGUUGGACGAGGAAUGUAUGAGCGAACAACUGACUUUGUCAAUAUAUGAUUUUCUGGCUUUGUGUAUUUGGAGCAAAAUUCUCAUUUGCCUAUUUCCUCCAGGAAAGUAAAACCCUCUUCUUUAGAGUAGAAUUCCUUCCUCUUGGUGAUAUACCAUUUGAUGUUAGGAAUUUUUGUAAAAGUGAUAAUUUUGAGUUUUGCUUAAAAACAUUUUAAAAGUGUCUUCUCACACAAUGAUGUAGCUUUUCUUUAUUCUUAGUACCUCCUUGAGCAGAUGGAUAAAAUUUCAAAUUUUUGUUGCCAAACAAUAGAAGAGGAGAAUUGAAAAGAUCUUGAAUAUGAGCAGUAAGGAAAGGUCGUGUGAAGUUGAGAAAGUCGAGACUAGGAAAUGCUAUUGACUCUGGUAAUCAAGCAUUUGCAAGGAUUUAGUAGGAAGAUAUCUUGAGAGAGAAGCCAAAAUCCUUUGUAAGAUCUUGUCAGGUAGCAAAAUGAGAGUUGAGAGAUUGGCUCGGGGCUUGUGUGGUCAUUCCUCUGGGUCAGUAAUCAAGAUUAUCGGGUAGGUAUAUAGGUGAUUUAUGUCUAUACCGCGAAGAUAACGACUUAUGAACCUUUGGCUCAUCGAAAACCCACAAGGUGAAGCGGGUUGGAUAUGCGACAAAGCUACACAUAACCACCAAAGUGGUGGAGCUUCGUAGUAGCCUUUGGGGUGGUGAGGUAUUCCCUCAAAGGUGAAGGUCGGCCUAAAAAAGAAAAUCAAGGAAAAGAAAAAUUAAAGGCAAAAGCUGAAUGCAAAAGUAAGAAAGAAAAAAAAAGGAGGAAAAAAAAUAAACAAAAGGUGUCUGCCAAGUGAUGAAAGGCAUGAAGGCUGAACUCGCAGGAAUUGAAUGUGAAAAUCUUUGGUAGAUGUGCAGUCCUAGGGUCAAUAUCUUCUCCUAUUUUUGAUUACCUAAGAUGCUGAGGAUGACUCCUUUAUGUCCAUAUUUUGGAAAUUGAAAGGCAUCCCUUCUAGAGAUUUGACGACAUUGACGCGAAAUGAAUCCUAAUGCUUGUACGGUAGGUGCUAUGUGUCAAUGAAGGCCAUAUUAUUUGCACAACACGAGCACUCAUGCUUAUUAGUUAAAUUGAUCGUUUUUGAACUAUUUCAAACUAAAAACUUGACAUCUCUAGUCAUAGGAGGAACUAACCAAUCUCCUUUGGUCUUGAAAUAUGUUUGUCAUUUCAUUCCCAAUCCCCUUUGGCCUUGAAAGAUGUUGGCCAUUCCAUUACCAAACCAUUAGUUCAUUCAUGGAAUAGAUGAAACUCCUCGAACUUAGUCAACUCAUGUUGAGUGUGAUGAAUUUCAUUUUGUUUGUCUCAAGAGAUGCAUAUCAUUUGGGACAAGUGAUUAAGCCUGGCCCAUUGUUGAAUCUGGUGGUUUUCUUAGUGUGCAAUUUCUGGUCACUACUAUUUAUUCUUGUUUUAGGUGGUAAACAUGAUGGAUGGAAAAGUGGAUGACCUGAUGCUUCUUUAUCGAUCAUAUUUAAUGCAAACUUUCUAUAAUGGGCAUAUUGAAGGGAAAAAAAACGUGAAUGAGGCCAAAAAUGUGCUGAAGAAUGAGAUUACACCAUAGUUGUAUCUCUGUAUUCUUGGCUUGCCGUAUGACCAUGCUUUGGACAUAUGGUCAGUUGGCUGCUGCUUGUAGGAGCUAUAUACAGGAAAGGUCCUCUUCCCUGGACCAUCAAACAAUGACAUGCUUUGGCUUCAUAUGGAGUUAAAAGGUCCAUUUCAUAAAAAGAUGCUCAGGAAGGGAGCCUUUACAGAUCAUCAUUUUGAUCGGGAUCUGAAUUUCCAUGCCACUGAAGAAGAUCCUGUUACAAAGAAGGCUGUUAAGCGACUGCUUGUGAAUAUUAAGGCAAAGGAUUUUAGUAGUCUUAUUUCAAGCUAUACUGGUGAGGAUCCCAAGAUGCUGGCCAAUUUCAAAGCUUGAUAGAAUUUUUGUGCUCGAUCCAGAGAAAAGAUUGACAGUAUCUCAAGCACUGAGUCAUCCAUUCAUUGCGGGCAAGUGAAUAAAGAUGCUGAUAUUUCUGAUCCAGAACUGUUGUUGAGUUAGCUAUGCAUUUGAGUCUUUUAUUCAGCCAUCUGAUCAUUGGGCAUUUGCUUGUCUCUAUCUUUGUCACAUGGACCAAGUGCAAGCAAUGCAGACUUCUUGCUGAUCGUGAGCUUAACACAGCCACUCUGGAGAGCUCUCUUACUUGGCGAGUCCUUUCAAUCGAAUAUAUUCUAUUUCUAUUGGAAUACGGGCCCUUGUUGGAGGAGUGAGAGACGUGAGACCCCUCAGUGAAUAGAUAGUUAAUGUCAUAGUGUGUAUAACGGAAAGGGGUUUCCGUAUACACGUUUCUGACUUUCUUUUGAAUAAAGGAAGUUCCCAACAACUGUUUCAUUGUACGGUGCACCGGGCACGUCCCGUCGACCUUGAGCGACCAGUUUCGAAGCUCGAGGCAUUUUGAAGAUUUUUGUGGGCGCGCGACAGUCGCCUAUCUUUACAGGAGGGUGCAGUCACGAUAAGACAAAGCAAUGGAUUGAGGAAGUUGAACGCAUCUUUGUGCUUCUGAAAAUGCCAGAGGAAGACAAAGUGAACUAUGACACUUACCUGCUGAAAGGUGAUGCCAUGGACUGGUGGCAAUCAAUUCGUGAGAUCCGGUAUGGGGGCCAACUGUCAAUCUCCUGGAAACAGUUUAGAGAUUCCUUCUUCCACACUUUUCAGUGCAUGCUAGGGACAAGAAAUUGCAAGAGUUUCUUGAUCUGCAGCAAAAUCAAAUGAGCUUGGAGGAAUAUAUUAUAAGAUAUCGAUACUUGGAGGUGUAUUGCCCACACCUCUACACUACAGAUGGAGUCAAAGCAGGCAAGUUUGUGCGCGGUUUGCGGGAUGAACUACGAAGCAAAGUUUUGACGAGCAGACCUCGUGACUUGGACGAGGCGGUCACCAUGGCAAGAUGCAUAGAAGAAGAUUGGGUAAGGACAUAGAAGGAUCACCAUAAAAAGGCAGGCCAGCACUCACACAGCGGGCGAACACAGGUCAAAUGCCAACACUUUGCAGGUAAGAUAAGGCCUUAUGAGAGGCGGGAAGACCGAACUUUCAAACGGAACCAGCCAACCCACAGUGAGGCCACACAGGGGUCAGCGGCCACUCCGACUUGUCAGAGGUGCCCUACUUGUUCUCGUGUGCACCCCGGGAAGCCGUGCUAUCGGAAGAUCGGAGCUUGCUUACACUGUGGAAUGAUGAGGCACUUCAUCAAAGACUGCCCCUUAAAGAAAGAAAGAGAGUUGAAGAAGCCUGAGGCCGGUCCUUCUAGCGCACGACAGACAACUGGACGUGUCUAUGCUACUACUGUGGAGGAGCUUCAGGCACACGACCUUGUUGAAUGUACUUUACUUGUUGGUUCUCAUAUUGCUAGAGUAUUGUUUGAUGCAGGGGCGACUCGUUCUUUUAUAUCUAGUCGAUUUGCUACUUCAAUAGAAGUGUCGGCCAGGAAGAUGCCAUAUGUUUUAAAAGUUGUUAGCCCUAUGCAUGCUCAAGAAUCGUGUCGUGAGUAUCUUCUUGAUGUGGAUGUGGAGAUCCAUCAACGUCACUUACCUGCACAGUUGGUGAUCAUGAGUCUCAGCGAAUUUGAUGUCAUUUUGGGCAUGGAUUGGUUAUAUGCGCAUUAUGCUAAUAUAGAUUGCAGGAGGAAGCAGAUACAGUUGUUGACUGAUGAGAUGCAACCUGUGGAAUUCCAUGCUCGAAAAGCUAGUCGAACUGACAAGAUAAUGGUGUCUGCAUUAAAAGCUAAAAUGUGAAGAGG